GGAUGUGAGGGUGAUCUGGCUGUGACAUCUGUUACCCCAUUGAUCGCCAGGGUUGAUUCGGCUGACCUGGCUGGCUAGGCAGGCGUCCCCUUCCUCCCUCACUGCUCCAUGUGCGUCCCUCCCGAAGCCGCACGCUCCGUUGAAGAGGACGACCACCCCCCAUAGAGGAGAACGGUUUCCUCAGUCAAAGGUAUACAAGUAACUGCACUCGCCUGCUGGAACCUCCAAACAAGAUCUCAGCGACAAUGCCACAGAGAGGGGGGCCAUGGAGCUCAGCCUGCCUCAGCCUCUGCCUCAGCUCCAGGGUCUACCAGUGUAGGUGAGA
rfam:Fukomys damarensis contig75281, whole genome shotgun sequence.